rnacentral:lncRNA from 1 species
CCUAAACCCAAAUAUAAACUUUAAACCCAAUUAUCAAAAUCUGAAAAUAGUAUAUAAUAUUAUGUAAUAUUAAACUUAAUCCAAACAAAACUCCUCAAUGCUGAAUUCAGACCUAACUUUUGAAUACUAAAGCCAAAAAUGCUAUCACUAAUCCCUAGAUCCUAAUCACUAAAUCCUAAACCCAAAUAUAAACUCUAAACCCAAAUAGAAUGGAACAAAAUACAUAGUAUUACAAAUUGGUGAGCAAAAAAGAACACUCUUUAUUAAUCGUCAAAUGAAACAUACAUAAUACGGUCACUAAACCCAAACCUCAACCCCCACCUUCCAAAUACUAAACCCUAAAUCCUAAUCAAUAAACCCUAAACCGAAAUAUAGACUCUAAACCCAAAUAGAAUGGAACAAAAUACAUAGUAUAGUACAAAC